CACAGAGAGGGUUUGUGGGAGAUUUGGAAGGAGGAAGCUGAACAGCAGUCAUAUUCUUUUACACUCGAAGUGCAGGAUUCCGGGCAGUGACUGGUGCAGCCGCUAAUAUGGCACGGGUCAGGGCUAGCCUGCAGUUCCUCCAUCUCCUGCCACACCGUCCUUUGGCUUCUUCUUCUCGGGCCCAGGGGGGUGCUCAGGUCCACGAUGAAGGGCCCCGCUUCUCCUGCAGGCCACCGGCAUAACCCAAGGAGGAGUUUUGGAGGCCCUGAGACCUUCAGGAUUCCAUCUUCACUUCUUUCCUCUUCGACUCUCUGCCCUGGUGACUUCAGGCCCCGGCAUCAGACACAAAGACAACAGGCUCAGAUAGACAGUUACGCCACCUGUUACAGCUACAGAAGGUCAGCUCCCGAAAAUGACAGUUGUGAGUAUGACACUGGUUAACUCAGACGAAGCACCCAGGACCGUGCCUGGCCCAGUGGCAGGUGAUAUCCUAAAAAGGAUUUGAGACUGGACAGUCUGGCGUCCUGUAUGAUACAUAUUUGAGGCAGAUGACACAGAUGCUUUUGAGACAGUCCUUCUGAUGCCAGCGUGACACAGCAUGAAGGGACAAGAUCCCAGCACGACGCUGCCCUGGGGAUUAACUACAAUAGUGCUACCAAAUGCCUUAAUGUAUUCAAUCCAUUGCUGCAAGAGAACCUGAAUGCCACCUCGAACUUUACUGAAGAGCUGAUACAGACGUUUGUUAACAUGAUGAAGAUAUUCAGGAACCUCUCUUUCCUGCAUUAAUUUUUGGCCUUCAGCUGCGUAGAGUCGUACGCGGGCCCCCCACUGCUGUGGCCUCUCCCG